rnacentral:rRNA from 1 species
AUAUCAAUAAGCGGAGGAAAAGAAACCAACAGGGAUUGCCUCAGUAACGGCGAGUGAAGCGGCAGCAGCUCAAAUUUGAAAUCUGGCCCUUUCAGGGUCCGAGUUGUAAUUUGUAGAAGAUGUUUCGGGCGCGGUGCCGGUCUAAGUCCCUUGGAACAGGGCGUCGCAGAGGGUGAGAAUCCCGUAUGUGACCGGCGGCCAACCCCAUGUGAAACUCUUUCGACGAGUCGAGUUGUUUGGGAAUGCAGCUCAAAAUGGGUGGUAAAUUUCAUCUAAAGCUAAAUACCGGCCAGAGACCGAUAGCGCACAAGUAGAGUGAUCGAAAGAUGAAAAGCACUUUGGAAAGAGAGUUAAAAAGUACGUGAAAUUGUUGAAAGGGAAGCGCUCGCCACCAGACCUGCCCACGGACGAUCAGCGGUAGUUCUCUGCCGUGCACUCGUGCGUGACCAGGCCAGCAUCGGUUUCGGCGGCCGGAUAAAGAUCCUUGGAAUGUGGCUCCCUUCGGGGGGUGUUAUAGCCUUGGGUGCCAUACGGCCAGCUGGGACCGAGGACCGCGCUUCGGCUAGGAUGCUGGCGUAAUGGUUGUGAGCGA